rnacentral:rRNA from 1 species
AGUGAACGCUGGCGGUAGGCCUAACACAUGCAAGUCGAACGGCAGCACAGUAAGAGCUUGCUCUUACGGGUGGCGAGUGGCGGACGGGUGAGGAAUACAUCGGAAUCUACUUUUUCGUGGGGGAUAACGUAGGGAAACUUACGCUAAUACCGCAUACGACCUACGGGUGAAAGCAGGGGAUCUUCGGACCUUGCGCGAUUGAAUGAGCCGAUGUCGGAUUAGCUAGUUGGCGGGGUAAAGGCCCACCAAGGCGACGAUCCGUAGCUGGUCUGAGAGGAUGAUCAGCCACACUGGAACUGAGACACGGUGCCGACUCCUACGGGAGGCAGCGGUGGGGAAUAUUGGACAAUGGGCGGAAGCCUGAUCCAGCCAUACCGCGUGGGUGAAGAAGGCCUUCGGGUUGUAAAGCCCUUUUGUUGGGAAAGAAAAGCAGCAGGUUAAUACCCCGCUGUUCUGACGGUACCCAAAGAAUAAGCACCGGCUAACUUCGUG